UACGUAGGGUGCGAGCGUUGUCCGGAAUUACUGGGCGUAAAGAGCUCGUAGGUGGUUUGUCGCGUUGUUCGUGAAAACUCACAGCUCAACUGUGGGCGUGCGGGCGAUACGGGCAGACUAGAGGUAUGCAGGAGAGAACGGAAUUCCUGGUGUAGCGGUGAAAUGCGCAGAUAUCAGGAGGAACCCCGGUGGCGAAGGCGGUUCUCUGGGCAUUACCUGACGCUGAGGAGCGAAAGUGUGGGGAGCGAACAGG
rnacentral:rRNA from 1 species